rnacentral:lncRNA from 1 species
UUUUUUUUAAAAAAGCAUCUUCCACAUCUUAUAUUACCCCAUAUUUUUUUAUUUGCUCUCGGUGCAGCUUCUUGUUUAAAAAAGAAAAAAAAUCUUUUUUAUUUGCUCCCAGCACCACACCACCUGCAGGCGCACGAGUUAGCAAGGAAUCCGGUCCACAGAAGUUGCGUGCUACUUGACAUGCACAUGAGCGAUAUUCUACUGUCAACCACGCUUUUUAGCUUAGCCUCUAGGAAAGAAAGCUUUGCAAACACCAUCAUCGGAUUAGUUGCUGAUAG